rnacentral:rRNA from 1 species
UACGGGGGGAGCAAGCGUUGUUCGGAUUUACUGGGCGUAAAGGGCGCGUAGGCGGCGUGGUAAGUCAAUUGUGAAAUCUCCGAGCUUAACUCGGAACGGUCAAUUGAUACUGCUGUGCUAGAGUACAGAAGGGGCAAUCGGAAUUCUUGGUGUAGCGGUGAAAUGCGUAGAUAUCAAGAGGAACACCUGAGGUGAAGACGGGUUGCUGGGCUGAUACUGACGCUGAGGCGCGAAAGCGUGGGGAGCGAACAGG